CGCAAGCCUGACGGAGCAAGACCGCGUGCGGGAUGACGGCCUAAUGGUUGUAAACCGCUUUUCUCUGGGAAGAAUGAUGACGGUACCAGAGGAAUCAGCCUCGGCUAACUCCGUGCCAGCAGCCGCGGUAAUACGGAGGAGGCAAGCGUUAUCCGGAAUUAUUGGGCGUAAAGCGUCCGUAGGUGGUUAUUCAAGUCUGCUGUCAAAGCGUGGGGCUUAACUCCAUAGAGGCAGUGGAAACUGGAUGACUUGAGUGCGGUAGGGGUCGAGGGAAUUCCCAGUGUAGCGGUGAAAUGCGUAGAUAUUGGGAAGAACACCAGUGGCGAAAGCGCUCGACUGGGCCUGCACUGACACUGAGGGACGAAAGCUAGGGGAGCG
rnacentral:rRNA from 1 species